rnacentral:rRNA from 1 species
UACGAAGGGGGCUAGCGUUGCUCGGAAUCACUGGGCGUAAAGGGUGCGUAGGCGGGUCUCUAAGUCAGGGGUGAAAUCCUGGAGCUCAGCUCCAGAACUGCCUUUGAUACUGAAGAUCUUGAGUUCGGGAGAGGUGAGUGGAACUGCGAGUGUAGAGGUGAAAUUCGUAGAUAUUCGCAAGAACACCAGUGGCGAAGGCGGCUCACUGGCCCGGUACUGACGCUGAGGUGCGAAAGCGUGGGGAGCAAACAGG